AAGCUCGUAGUUGAAUUUCGGGCCUGGCUGGGCGGUCUGCUUAACGGCAUGUACUGUCUGGCUGGGUCUUACCUCUUGGUGAGCCGGUGUGCCCUUUAUUGGUGUGCAUCGGGGAACCAGGACUUUUACCUUGAGAAAAUUAGAGUGUUCAAAGCAGGCUUAUGCCCGAAUACAUUAGCAUGGAAUAAUAAAAUAGGACGUGCGGUUCUAUUUUGUUGGUUUCUAGGAUUGACGUAAUGAUUAAUAGGGAUAGUUGGG
rnacentral:rRNA from 1 species